rnacentral:rRNA from 1 species
CCUACGGGGGGCAGCAGUGAGGAAUAUUGGUCAAUGGACGAGAGUCUGAACCAGCCAAGUCGCGUGAAGGAUGACUGCCCUAUGGUUUGUAAACUUCUUUUAUAUGGGAAUAAAACGUUCCACGUGUGGGAUUUUGUAUGUACCAUAUGAAUAAGGAUCGGCUAACUCCGUGCCAGCAGCCGCGGUAAUACGGAGGAUCCGAGCGUUAUCCGGAUUUAUUGGGUUUAAAGGGAGCGUAGGUGGAUUGUUAAGUCAGUUGUGAAAGUUUGCGGCUCAACCGGAAAAUUGCAGUUGAAACUGGCAGUCUUGAGUACAGUAGAGGUAGGCGGAAUGCGUGGUGUAGCGGUGAAAUGCUUAGAUAUCACGAAGAACUCCGAUUGCGAAGGCAGUUCACUGGACUGCAACUGACACUGAGGCUCGAAAGUGUGGGUAUCAAACAGGAUUAGAUACCCUAGUAGUC